ACACACACACACACACACACACACAGUGUGUGUGUGUGUGUGUGUGUGU
rnacentral:miRNA from 1 species